GAGCCAAGAGAUCUCGACCGAUCGUUAUGUUAUAUUAGGGAUUUUAGUUAGAAAAAAACGCCGUCCCCCAAAUACAGUGGCGGUCCCGCCGCAGCUUCCAUCGCGUAGUAGCUAACACCUCGCGACUGGAGAGCGGCGCGGCCACGCCGUAAAACACCCAACUCUUCUGAAGUUGACCUCGAAUCAGGUAGGAAUACCCGCUGAACUUAAGCAUAUCAAUAAGCGGAGGAAAAGAAACCAACAGGGAUUGCCCCAGUAACGGCGAGUGAAGCGGCAACAGCUCAAAUUUGAAAUCUGGCUCUCGGGCCCGAGUUGUAAUUUGUAGAGGAUGCUUUUGGUGAGGUGCCUUCCGAGUUCCCUGGAACGGGACGCCAUAGAGGGUGAGAGCCCCGUCUGGUUGGACGCCGAACCUCUGUAAAGCUCCUUCGACGAGUCGAGUAGUUUGGGAAUGCUGCUCUAAAUGGGAGGUAUAUGUCUUCUAAAGCUAAAUACCGGCCAGAGACCGAUAGCGCACAAGUAGAGUGAUCGAAAGAUGAAAAGAACUUUGAAAAGAGAGUUAAACAGUACGUGAAAUUGUUGAAAGGGAAGCGCUUGUGACCAGACUUGGGCUUGGUUGAUCAUCCGGGGUUCUCCCCGGUGCACUCUUCCGGCCUAGGCCAGCAUCAGUUCGCCCUGGGGGAUAAAGGCUUCGGGAACGUGGCUCUCUCCGGGGAGUGUUAUAGCCCGCUGCGUAAUACCCUGUGGCGGACUGAGGUUCGCGCAUUCGCAAGGAUGCUGGCGUAAUGGUCAUCAGUGACCCGUCUUGAAACACGGACCAAGGAGUCGUCUUCGUAUGCGAGUGUUCGGGUGUCAAACCCCUACGCGAAAUGAAAGUGAACGCAGGUGAGAGCUUCGGCGCAUCAUCGACCGAUCCUGAUGUUAUCGGAUGGAUUUGAGUAAGAGCAUACGGGGCCGGACCCGAAAGAAGGUGAACUAUGCCUGUGUAGGGUGAAGCCAGAGGAAACUCUGGUGGAGGCUCGCAGCGGUUCUGACGUGCAAAUCGAUCGUCAAACAUGGGCAUGGGGGCGAAAGACUAAUCGACUCUUYGUCU
rnacentral:rRNA from 1 species